AUUGGAAUUGUGUUCUUUUUUUGUUGAAUGAGAAAAAUAGGAGAAAAUGAUUAUAAGCGGUUCAGUUAAGCAGAACCAAGAAAAUUACAAAGAGAUUGAGGCAAAGAUCUAUUUGAUGUUCUCUCUAAUGAUGUCAUGCAGAGACAGACGCAAGACUUGCAAAAAAGAUCUUGAAUGCUAAAAGGAAAAGCACAGAGGAACCGAAGGCUUUCGUAGAGAUCUCUUGCACAACUUCUCCCCAUCAUUUAGUUUAUUUGAGGAAAGCUUAUUGUUUACUCCUUGAUUCAUCCUUUGCAGAACACACUGCUUCAUCUAUUCCUUAUCCUCCUGCAAAUUUUUUUUUUUUUUUGGUAUCAUACAUUUUAACUUACAAAAUUGCUUCCUUUUUUUUCUUUUAGUAGGCUCAGAAGAAGCACAAGUAUGAAUGUGUGAUGGUGUGAAACCAAAGAGACAAUGAAAAGAAAGGAGGAACAUAGAAAGAAGAUAUGGAGAAGUCAAAGAAAGGACUUUUGAUAAAAGUGUGUGCAGUCUAUAGUGCAUGGAGUUAUGUCAGAUGAUGUUGCUCGGUUACUGAAUCGUGCUCGCCACUACUCAGCUGUGCGCUUACAUGGCUUAUAUCAACCGGGAAUAUAAGAAAAGGCGAUACUGAUCCUUCCCGAAAAGUAUAUGGAGAAUGAGAUGGUAGUUGAAGCUUUUAAGAGACUUUAGAGGUGAUGUUAGAGAUGGGUAGAAAGAGUUGGAGGCAGGAGAGGAAGACUAGGAAGUGAUGCAGCUCCUUCCGUGAGACACCUACCAAAUGGCAGCCAAAACCAACAUGGAGGUGUUGUUAGAGAUGGUUGAGGCAGAGGCCUGUCUGGUGGUGGCAAAGACAAUAAAGAUGGCCUAGCUAAAGAUUGUCGUGCUUAGAAGUGGGACUGAAAAAAUGGAAUAAAAAGCUCUAAAAUGGUAUUAGGAAGAACGUGUAGAUAACAAUAGCUUAAGGUUUUUUACAUUUGUGGAUCAUCAGGUGAACACGCUCCUGUCUCUAGGAUCAGCCGAAGCUAGAUCCUUUGUUGCUCAGACUUAAGCAGUGAUCGUUUUCGUAAUUCAGUGGCUACAGGAGGUGGCUGAAGGAACAACAGAGGUUGUUUAAUUAAGUGUGGCGACUCAAGAGCACCUGACCGAUAGUGAGCUUAGGAUGUUUGUUGAUGUGCAUGGAGAGGAAUACAGUUCAAAGCAACGUCAGAGAAAUAACGUUUACCCGCAUUUGAGUCUUCUCUCCAUUUUUUUCUUUUGCAAAGAUUUAUGUAUGAAAAAAUGGAGAAAGUAAAAUGAUUCAGAAGAGAAUCUACAGUUCUAUUCAGAGAAAGGUCGAAGAUCAUGGCUGGUUUGGUGAAUAUUGAGUCUUCAGCUAAGUUCUACUAAAAACAAUUUUUUCACAACUUACAACGAUAGUUAUCCUGAUAUUUAGUCCAGGCUGGAUUACAAAUCUUUCAUUUAGUUUCCAAUAGCUAAUCGCACAUUUAAUUUUCAGAGGUCUGUGCUAAUGUUGAUGUGUGUGUGUGUGUUGAUCAUUUGGACAGGACCAAACUACUUUGAGAUUGAUUUGGAUAUGCACAAGUUCAAUUACAUAUACAGGAAAA